CGGAACGUGGCGCAGCUUGGUAGCGCACUACAAUGGGGUUGUAGGGGUCGGAGGUUCGAAUCCUCUCGUUCCGACCA
rnacentral:tRNA from 2 species